rnacentral:rRNA from 2 species
UGGGGAAUAUUGCACAAUGGGCGGAAGCCUGAUGCAGCGACGCCGCGUGAGGGAUGAAGGCCUUCGGGUUGUAAACCUCUUUCAGCAGGGACGAAGCGUGAGUGACGGUACCUGCAGAAGAAGCACCGGCUAACUACGUGCCAGCAGCCGCGGUAAUACGUAGGGUGCGAGCGUUGUCCGGAAUUACUGGGCGUAAAGAGUUCGUAGGCGGUUUGUCGCGUCGUUUGUGAAAACCCGGGGCUCAACUUCGGGCUUGCAGGCGAUACGGGCAGACUUGAGUGUUUCAGGGGAGACUGGAAUUCCUGGUGUAGCGGUGAAAUGCGCAGAUAUCAGGAGGAACACCGGUGGCGAAGGCGGGUCUCUGGGAAACAACUGACGCUGAGGAACGAAAGCGUGGGUAGCAAACA